GUAGGUGAACCUGCGGAAGGAUCAUUAAAACUCGUGUAUUUCUUUACACGUUUAAACAAACCCGUGCUCUUUUCGUUAGUAGUCCGCUAUUAAAUUAGUCGUGGUGAACGCAACCCAUUUUCCCGGCAUCAGAACGACCGGUAGCAGGAUUGAGCGGAGGUGUGGAGGGUUCGCCCCUUGCAUUCUGUCCUGUUAUCUCAUGUCCUCACCUUAAAUGUGUGUUGGGUGUGAUAGAAGUCCUCUGGUACGG
rnacentral:misc_RNA from 1 species